GGCGGUGUAGCUCAGUUGGUAAGAGCACACGGUUCAUACCCGUGGGGUCACUGGUUCGAAUCCAGUCACCGCUA
rnacentral:tRNA from 1 species